rnacentral:lncRNA from 1 species
AAUUGUUAAACUUCAUGUGUCUCUUUUAUCUCCAAUGAGUUUGUAUCUCAAGACUUCCCAGGUUGAAAGUUUUCCAGCAGGGGUUAGUCCAACAAAAUAUCCCAUAUCUACUAUAGCAUACUAGCGGCUCAAAAAUCAACCUAGACACCAUGUCUAAUUUGAUUUAGAAGGGCAUUUUAACCUAAGCACCAUGCUUAAUUUAAAAUCCCUUGGAAGUAAGAUCAUCAUUCCUAAACUAAGCACCAUGCUUAAUUAAGAGAUAAAUAAAACUAUUCCAAACCUAGACAUAUACUAAAGCAAAUAAAGGUAGCAUGAGAGCAUUUAUAG